rnacentral:rRNA from 1 species
AGGGUUUGAUCAUGGCUCAGAUUGAACGCUGGCGGCAGGCCUUAUACAUGCAAGUCGAACGGAAACGAUGCUAGCUUGCUAGCAGGCGUCGAGUGGCGGACGGGUGAGUAACACGUGGGAAUCUGCCUAUUAGUGGGGGAUAAGCUGGGGAAACCCAGUCUAAUACCGCAUACGCACUACGGUGGAAAGGGGCCCUCUCCUUGGAAGGUCUCGCUAAUAGAUGAGCCCGCGUCGGAUUAGCUAGUUGGUGGGGUAAAGGCCCACCAAGGCGACGAUCCGUAGCUGGUCUGAGAGGAUGAUCAGCCACACUGGGACUGAGACACGGCCCAGACUCCUACGGGAGGCAGCAGUAGGGAAUAUUGCACAAUGGGCGCAAGCCUGAUGCAGCCAUGCCGCGUGUGUGAAGAAGGCCUUCGGGUUGUAAAGCACUUUCAGCAGGGAGGAAAGGUUGUAAAUUAAUACUUUGCAGCUGUGACGUUACCUGCAGAAGAAGCACCGGCUAACUCCGUGCCAGCCGCCGCGGUAAUAC